UGCUAGAUGACCAGUACACUAGUUCAUCAGGCUCUAAGUUCCCAGUCAAGUGGCUCCUCCUGAAGUCUUCAACUUCUGCAAGUACAGCAGCAAGUCUGACGUCUGGUCCUUCGGUGUGUUGAUGUGGGAGUGUUUACAGAGGGGAAGAUGCCGUUUGAACACAACCCUAACCACGAGGUAGUGCUGAGAGUGUCACGAGGACACCGUCUCUACAGACCCAGGAUGGCCACGCCCAACAUCUAGACAUCAUGCAGCUCUGCUGGCACGAGAAAGCGGAGGAAAGACACUUUCUCUCAGAUCUCCAUCUUGAUCUCUGACGCUCUGGAAGAGGACGGCUUCUCA